rnacentral:rRNA from 1 species
GUGCCAGCAGCCGCGGUAAUACGUAGGCUACAAGCGUUACUCGGAUUUAUUGGGCGUAAAGGGUCUGUAGAACGUUUUAAGUCUUGUUUCAAAGACCUCGACUUAAUCGAGGAAAGGGGCAAGAUACUAAAAGACUAGAGUGGUAUCGGGGUUACUGGAAUUUUUAGUGUANGGGUUAAAUCCGUGGAUACUAAAAAGAACACCAAGCGCGAAGGCGGGUAACUAGGUACAUACUGACGUUCAGAGACGAAAGCUAGGGUAGCAAAUCAGAUUAGAGACCUGAGUAGUCCUAGCUGUAAACAUUGUCCGUUAGUUCUUCCUUAAUUUAUUAGGGGGGGAUGUUAGCAAACGCGUUAAACGGAUCGCCUGGGGAGUAUAGCCGCAAGGCCGAAACUCAAACGAAUUGGCGGGGAGGCGCACAACCAGUGGAGCAUGUGGUUCAAUUCGAUACAAAGCGAUGAACCUUACCUGGGUUUGAAAUGUAUCUGCAAAUCCCGAGAAAUCGGGACAUCCUUCGAGGGUGAUACACAGCUGUUGCAUGGCUGUCGUCAGCCCGUGACGUGAGUUGUUCUCUUAAGUGAGGUAACGGGCGCAACCCCCGUUCUGUGUUAUUGUGUCACAGAAGAC